ACUAAAAGUAAGAACUCACGGAGUUCCCUUAGAACUGAAGUUUCCCAUCCGCAUUUGAACUCACCAUUGCUCUCUACCUGUGUGCAGUAAUCCCCGGAUCCUGGACCGAAGACAGAUAAACUCCAACUGACUAUCUUGUUUUUGUCAGAGCUGUAAAUAAACCUUUAACUAAACCCAUUCUCCUCUGAGUGUUUCUGCAUGUGGGUCAAGAGUCUCAAACCCAUCAUGACAGAACACUCUGGCCNAAUGUUGGGGACCAGGCUGGGUUAGUGUUUUUCCAGGUCUAUCCACCAGAGGGCACCUUGUGGCUGUUUUUUCCCAGAGGUUGGACCAACAGGUCUUGGUUGACACACCUGCAAGAAAUGAUCAUCACCGUGAGGAGUAUAUGAGCAGCAGGCGGCCAGUUCCUCCUCGCCAGAGUGUUUGCCAGCAGUGGUUGUUGCAUCGGAACCGUUCGAGUUACCGGAGUCUUGGAAGAAUCCUCUCGUGCCGCUGCUGCACCGUUUCCUCUCGGUCUUGUGAGUUAGACCACCCUGUCCGCCCUCCAGCCCUGUGAACCACCUGAGCAGCCCACAACCUGGAAAUUGCCUUGCCUACCUGGCUCCGCUUGCCUCUCCCCACUCGCUCUCCAGCCACUACAAGUAAGAACUCACGGAGUUCCCUUAGAACUGAAGUUUCCCAUCCGCAUUUGAACUCACCAUUGCUCUCUACCUGUGUGCAGUAAUUCCCGGAUCCUGGACCGAAGAAAGAAUAAACUCCAACUAUCUUUUUUCUUUUGUCAGAGCUGUAAAUAAACCUUUUGACUAAA